rnacentral:rRNA from 1 species
UACGUAGGGUGCGAGCGUUAAUCGGAAUUACUGGGCGUAAAGGGUGUGCAGGCGGCUGAGUAAGACAGAUGUGAAAUCCCCGGGCUUAACCUGGGAACCGCAUAUGUGACUGCUUGGCUAGAGUGCGUCAGAGGGAGGUGGAAUUCCACGUGUAGCAGUGAAAUGCGUAGAUAUCAGGAGGAACACCGGCGGCGAAGGCGGCUUACUGGACUGUAACUGACGUUGAGGCUCGAAGGCGUGGGGAGCAAACAGG